rnacentral:rRNA from 1 species
UACGUAGGGGGCUAGCGUUAUCCGGAAUUACUGGGCGUAAAGGGUGCGUAGGUGGUUUCUUAAGUCAGAGGUGAAAGGCUACGGCUCAACCGUAGUAAGCCUUUGAAACUGGGAAACUUGAGUGCAGGAGAGGAGAGUGGAAUUUCUAGUGUAGCGGUGAAAUGCGUAGAUAUUAGGAGGAACACCAGUUGCGAAGGCGGCUCUCUGGACUGUAACUGACACUGAGGCACGAAAGCGUGGGGAGCAAACAGGAUUAGAUACCCCGGUAGUCCCUGAGCGGG